rnacentral:rRNA from 1 species
GGAGGUCCGAACCCACGAGCGUUGAAAAGCUCGGGGAUGACUUGUGGGUAGCGGUGAAAUUCCAAUCGAGCCCGGAGAUAGCUGGUUCUCCCCGAAAUAGCUUUAGGGCUAGCCUCAAGGUGAGAGAUACGGAGGUAGAGCACUGAAUGUCCUAGGGGGUAUUGCACCUACCGAAGACUAUCAAACUCCGAAUGCCGUCAUCUUAUACUUGGGAGUCAGACUGUGGGUGAUAAGAUUCAUAGUCGAAAGGGCAACAGCCCAGAUCGUCAGCUAAGGUCCCUAAAUGUAAGUUAAGUGGUAAAGGAUGUGGGAUUGCACAGACAACCAGGAUGUUGGCUUAGAAGCAGCCACUCAUUCAAAGAGUGCGUAAUAGCUCACUGGUCGAGUGAUCCUGCGCCGAAGAUUUCCGGGGCUAAAACUUACUACCGAAGCUACGGCAUCAGUAAUGAUGGGUAGGGGAGCUUCCCAUACGGGUUGAAGCAUGACCGUAAGGACAUGUGGACAGUAUGGGAGUGAGAAUGUUGGCAUGAGUAGCGAGAUGUGGGUGAGAAUCCCACAGGCCGUAAACCCAAGGUUUCCAGGGGAAGGUUCGUCCGCCCUGGGUUAGUCGGGACCUAAGCUGAGGCCGAAAGGCGUAGGUGAUGGACAACAGGUUGAUAUUCCUGUACUACCGAUAACCGUUUGAGAGAAGGGAUGACACAGUAGGAUAAGCUAAGCACACUGUUGGUUAUGUGUGCCCAAGCAUUGAGGCAGUCCAAGUAGGCAAAUCCGCUUUGAUAAUGCUGGGAUGUGAUGGGGAGCGAAAUUUAGUAGCGAAGUAGCUGAUUUCACACUGUCAAGAAAAGUCUCUAUCGAGGUUAAAGGUACCCGUACCGCAAACCGACACAGGUGGGUGAGGAGAGUAUCCUAAGGCCAGCGAGAGAACUGUUGUUAAGGAACUCGGCAAAAUGACCCCGUAACUUAGGGGUAAGGGGGGCCACGAU